rnacentral:SRP_RNA from 1 species
GCUGGGCAUGGUGGCGUAUGCCUGUAAUCCCAGCUACUCAGGAGGCUGAGGCAGGAGAAUCACUUGAACCUGGGAGGCGGAGGUUGCAGUGAGCCGAGAUCGUGCCACUGCACUCUAGCCUGGGUGACAGAGUAAGACUCUGUCUCAA